CGGGGUAUAGCGCAGCCUGGUAGCGCGUCUGCAUGGGGUGCAGAAGGUCGUAGGUUCAAAUCCUGCUACCCCGACCA
rnacentral:tRNA from 2 species